rnacentral:rRNA from 1 species
GACGAACGCUGGCGGCGUGCUUAACACAUGCAAGUCGAACGAUGAACCCGGAGCUUGCUCCGGUGGAUUAGUGGCGAACGGGUGAGUAACACGUGAGUAACCUGCCCUUGACUCUGGGAUAACUGCGGGAAACUGUAGCUAAUACUGAAUAUGUCCCGUCACCGCAUGGUGUGCGGGUGGAAAGAUUUUUCGGUUGGGGAUGGGCUCGCGGCCUAUCAGCUUGUUGGCGAGGUAAUGGCUCACCAAGGCGUCGACGGGUAGCCGGCCUGAGAGGGUGACCGGCCACACUGGGACUGAGACACGGCCCAGACUCCUACGGGAGGCAGCAGUGGGGAAUAUUGCACAAUGGGCGGAAGCCUGAUGCAGCAACGCCGCGUGAGGGAUGACGGCCUUCGGGUUGUAAACCUCUUUUAGCAGGGAAGAAGCGAGAGUGACGGUACCUGCAGAAAAAGCACCGGCUAACUACGUGCCAGCAGCCGCAGUAA